CUAACCAUUGCACCUAAAACAAAUUAGGGAAGCUCUAAUCAACUGCGCCCUCCCCGCAUACAAUUUCUUCUGCUUCCAGCUUUCUUAUAAUAUAUCAUAUAUAUAACACUGAAAGCUAACAAUCCAUCGUAUCUCUUCUUUACUUUUCUCUCUAUUUCUCCUUUGCCUCAACUUUGCUUCUUUUUCAUGUGCACCAGGAGCAGCUGAAGCUGCCAGCAUGAUCUGAAAUAUUCAUUCUCUCACAAAAUCAUGGAAGUCUCAGAUCAUGUUGCAGUUUCACCUGCUGAUAGGAGCACAAGAAACACUUCAGCUUAAUUAUGGCUUUAUCUACAACCUGUCCUCUUCUUGAGUUACUUGGAAUGAAGGAAAAUGAAGGAAAUGAAAUUCCAUAAUAUUCUAGAGUUUAAGAGAAGAUAUAUGUGAAGAUGAUUGGGAAUAUUAAUUUCUUCUAAGAUGGAAGAAAGAAGGCAAGGAAAGCUUUUGCGUCUCUCAUGGUUAAUUAGUGCUUUGAAGAUCUAUGUUGCCAUCGGUGCUCAAGAAUUCCACAUGCUUGAUGCUUCUUCUCUUUGUGAGCUCUCUCUUAUAUGUUUAAAAAUAUUUCUUUCUCUUACAAAAUGAAUACACUCUCUACUUGAUUUUGUGCCAUGGGGAUGAUUGCUGAAUUGAAAGAUUUGUCUUUCCUAUAGAAGCAAAAAAGUAGAUUAAUUUAGCCUUGCAACAUGAAGUUUUUCAUUGGAAAGAAAGCAUAAGAAAUUAAUAGAGCUAUGAACAUUAGUUGAUAUCUGCA